rnacentral:lncRNA from 1 species
CAGCCCACGGCAUUGCCAAGGAGGGUUUGGGCUCCCAAUGAAGGGAUCCUUUAGCCACCAGGGGGCAGCACCAGGACACUUAUUUCUCAGGGAAUAAUCAAAAAGAAGGAAAAAGUUACCUUAUUCAACAAGUAUCUAUUGGACGUCGUAUCGUAUGUGCCAAACACUUAAGGAAUUUACAUUUACUGGGGCAAUGGAAUGGUGAUAACGGGUAUCAAAAGCAAAGUUGCCUACCUCCAAUUUUACGAAUACCUCAUUAGCAUUACCUCUUCCAAACACCCAUGUUGACCUUUCAACAAACAUAUUUUUCGCUUCUUUCUCAUUUCUAGGCCCUCUUCCUUCUUUGAAUCCCACUUUUGGAUGGAUAAUAGUUCAGGUGGGGCUGUCAUAGCUAUAUGCAGGGGUCCCAUUGUGCUAGCUGGCAGGCUUUGCACAAGAUUUUGCAGCUGAAAGAGGAAUUUGAGAAAAAUACAAGAUCCCAAUGAGUAUAAAAUAAAAGCACAGAAGGACACAAUUACCAUUGUGGAUACUGCCAAAUGAUUCACAGGGCAGCAAGUGGGAAGGGAAGGAGCAGAAUCUGCCCGAUUCUUAAUAUGUAGCAAGAGCUUCUACCCAAUAAUUCUGCUUUAAGGGGCCUCUGUUAAGGAAAUAAUCCUAAAUACAUAAAAACAAGCACAUAGGUGGUCAUGAGAUAUUAUUUAGCCAUUAUAAAUAAUACAACUUAGUAUAUACAUUAUCAACUCAAUUAUGUUUUCUGAAAAGGAUACUGAUGAACAAAGACUAGAAAGAAAUACAAAACAGUACUAUAAGUACUUAAUUUUUGUAUGGUGAAUUAUGACUGUGGAAUUUCAAUAUUCAUUUUAGUUCCUAUUUUGAAAAUUUCUACCCUUAACAAUGUCAUUUUUAUAAUCUCUCUACCC